AUUGAACGCUGGCGGCAUGCCUUACACAUGCAAGUCGAACGGCAGCACGGACUUCGGUCUGGUGGCGAGUGGCGAACGGGUGAGUAAUAUAUCGGAACGUACCUUUCAGUGGGGGAUAACUAUCCGAAAGGAUAGCUAAUAACGCAUAUUCUGUGAGCAGGAAAGCAGGGGAUCUUCGGACCUUGAGCUGAUUGAGCGGCCGGUAUCAGAUUAGCUAGUUGGUGGGGUAAAGGCCUAUCAAGGCGACGAUCUGUAGCGGGUCUGAGAGGAUGAUCCGCCACACUGGAACUGAGACACGGUCCAGACUCCUACGGGAGGCAGCAGUGGGGAAUUUUGGACAAUGGGGGCAACCCUGAUCCAGCCAUGCCGCGUGAGUGAAGAAGGCCUUCGGGUUGUAAAGCUCUUUCGUCCGGGAAGAAAUCGCAUUGGCUAAUACCUGAUGUGGAUGACGGUACCGGAAUAAGAAGCACCGGCUAACUACGUGCCAGCCGCCGCAGUAACAC
rnacentral:rRNA from 1 species